GAUGAACGCUGGCGGCGUGCCUAAUACAUGCAAGUCGAGCGAACAGACGAGGAGCUUGCUCCUCUGACGUUAGCGGCGGACGGGUGAGUAACACGUGGAUAACCUACCUAUAAGACUGGGAUAACUUCGGGAAACCGGAGCUAAUACCGGAUAAUAUAUUGAACCGCAUGGUUCAAUAGUGAAAGACGGUUUUGCUGUCACUUAUAGAUGGAUCCGCGCCGCAUUAGCUAGUUGGUAAGGUAACGGCUUACCAAGGCAACGAUGCGUAGCCGACCUGAGAGGGGGAUCGGCCACACUGGAACUGAGACACGGUCCAGACUCCUACGGGAGGCAGCAGUAGGGAAUCUUCCGCAAUGGGCGAAAGCCUGACGGAGCAAAGCCGCGUGAGUGAUGAAGGUCUUCGGAUCGUAAAACUCUGUUAUUAGGGAAGAACAAAUGUGUAAGUAACUAUGCACGUCUUGACGGUACCUAAUCAGAAAGCCACGGCUAACUACGUG
rnacentral:rRNA from 1 species